AAUAUUGCACAAUGGGCGCAAGCCUGAUGCAGCCAUGCCGCGUGUAUGAAGAAGGCCUUCGGGUUGUAAAGUACUUUCAGCAGUGAGGAAGGCAGGUACGUUAAUAGCGUGCUUGUUUGACGUUAGCUGCAGAAGAAGCACCGGCUAACUCCGUGCCAGCAGCCGCGGUAAUACGGAGGGUGCGAGCGUUAAUCGGAAUUACUGGGCGUAAAGCGCAUGCAGGUGGUUUGUUAAGUCAGAUGUGAAAGCCCGGGGCUCAACCUCGGAAUUGCAUUUGAAACUGGCAGACUAGAGUACUGUAGAGGGGGGUAGAAUUUCAGGUGUAGCGGUGAAAUGCGUAGAGAUCUGGAGGAAUACCGGUGGCGAAGGCGGCCCCCUGGACAAAGACUGACGCUCAGGUGCGAAAAGCGUGGGGAGCAAACAGGAUUAGAUACCCUGGUAG
rnacentral:rRNA from 1 species